CCUACGGGAGGCAGCAGUGGGGGAAUAUUGCACAAUGGGCGCAAGCCUGAUGCAGCCAUGCCGCGUGUGUGAAGAAGGCCUUCGGGUUGUAAAGCACUUUCAGUCGUGAGGAAGGUAGUGUAGUUAAUAGCUGCAUUAUUUGACGUUAGCGACAGAAGAAGCACCGGCUAACUCCGUGCCAGCAGCCGCGGUAAUACGGAGGGUGCGAGCGUUAAUCGGAAUUACUGGGCGUAAAGCGCAUGCAGGUGGUUUGUUAAGUCAGAUGUGAAAGCCCGGGGCUCAACCUCGGAAUUGCAUUUGAAACUGGCAGACUAGAGUACUGUAGAGGGGGUAGAAUUUCAGGUGUAGCGGUGAAAUGCGUAGAGAUCUGAAGGAAUACCGGUGGCGAAGGCGGCCCCCUGGACAGAUACUGACACUCAGAUGCGAAAGCGUGGGGAGCAAACAGGAUUAGAUACCCUGGUAG
rnacentral:rRNA from 1 species